CAGCCGCCGCGGGAAUACAGAGGGUGCGAGCGUUAAUCGGAUUUACUGGGCGUAAAGCGUGCGUAGGCGGCUUCUUAAGUCGGAUGUGAAAUCCCUGAGCUUAACUUAGGAAUUGCAUUCGAUACUGGGAAGCUAGAGUAUGGGAGAGGAUGGUAGAAUUCCAGGUGUAGCGGUGAAAUGCGUAGAGAUCUGGAGGAAUACCGAUGGCGAAGGCAGCCAUCUGGCCUAAUACUGACGCUGAGGUACGAAAGCAUGGGGAGCAAACAGGAUUAGAUACCCUGGUAGUCCCUGUCUCUUAUAC
rnacentral:rRNA from 1 species